UUGGGGUUGGGGGUUAGGAGGGGAGGACAUGCUCUCUGCAAAUUAGGUGCAAACGAAGGCUCAGAAUGAGCGAGUUUGGGAAUGCCACUACACAGACCUUUGGGUCUGGGAUUUUGACACCUCGCUGGAUCUGGAGGGCACCCUUGGGUGGAGAGGCCAGGAGGACCCGAUUUCUGCCUAGCAACAUCACAACCAAUCAAGAUGCAAUUAAACCUGUCAGUUCGGCUCAUCCUUAACUGGGAUUGGCUACUCGCAGUAUGCUUAUCCCAAGUUUUCAUUGGCUGACGGCCACCUGUAUGGAAAUAAGAAUUACCCGGGACUCUCAGGCCCUUCUCAGCAGUACGGACCUGUGGCUUAGUGCGCUGAAACCUGCAAGGUCGGAGCCGAAACUCCUGGGCUUGCUUGUUGUCCUGCCUUCUCUUCCUCAAAGGAGAUCUCUUGAAUAUUCCCUUUUCCCUCUGCGCCCCUGCCUAAGGCCUAGUCUGAAAGAAGUCCGACCAAAUAACCUGAAAUAAUGCGGA